AAUUGUUGCCAGCUGACCUAUCUUACAAAAACUGGUAAAAGUUCUUCAGAAAUAAGAUGAAGUAUACAGGUCAGAAACUCAGAUCUAAAGUAAGAAAGGAAGAGUAUCAGAGAAGGAAUAAAUGAGGAUUCACCUCGAUCCCAAUUAAAAUCCCAGCAAGUUAUUUUGUGGAUAUCAACUAAAGUGAAUAUCUAAAGUUCAUAUGGAAAGAGAAAAUUCCCAGCAUAACCAAGACAAUACUGAAGAACAAAGUGGGAUAAUUGACACUAUCCAGCUUGGUGACAUACUGUUAUGCUAUAGUAAUCAAGUCAGUAUGGCAUGGGUGAAAAAAUAGACAAAUAGAUCAGUGGAACAGAAUAGAGGGCCCAGAAAUAGAUCCAUGAAAACAUGGUCAAGUGAUCUUUGACAAAAGACCAAAAGCAACUCGAUGGAGAAAAGACAAUCUUUGCAGUAGAUGGUGCAAGAAUGACCAGACUCCCAAAUGCAAAAAGAAAAAAAUGAAUCUAGACACGGCCUUCAGAUCUUUCACAAAAAUUAACUCAAAAUGAAUCAUAGGCCUAAAUAUAAAAUGCAAAUCCAUAAAAUGUGAAGAUGAUAUAGAAGAAAACCUAGGUCACCCGGAGUUCAGUGAUGACUUUUGACUUGCAACAGCAAAAGCGUGAUCCACGAAGACAAUCUUGAUAAAUUGAACAUAGUUUGAUGCAACAGUACUGGUGCUUCAUGCUUACUUUAAGUGGUGAAUUCGUAGGUCUUAUUUUACUACUAAGUAUCAAAACUUGCAUGCUACUACCUAUCUUUUUAUACAUAAAAUUAUUAUACAAUUUCAAAUUUUUUUAAGGUUGGGCCCCAAGAUGCCCAGUGUAGGGGAUUGACAGAUUCUUUGAUGACAAACUGAUCUUCAGAACACCAAAUGUGAUAUGUCAUUGCCCAUCGUAUUGCGAAUUAAUCCUAGAGGAAUAAUACACAACAGAUUGAAGUCAUCUUUUUUUUUUUUAUUUUUUUACUUGCUGGGCACUGCAAUAAAGGCCUCUGAUAGAGAAACAUCAAGAAUUGGGUAGAACUAUGAGAAAGGCAAAGCUUUACAAUUCAUUUUUUUAAAGCCAAGAAAUAAAUCAGAAACCAAAACCAAAAACAAGACCAAAAACAAAACCACCAACUUAGAAGACAGCAAGGAGAGAGAAAAAUUUAGUUUUACUGUACCAGGACUAUAGAGUGCUGUGCUCAGCCCUUCUCUGAAGUUCUGAUGUGUGCAGAGUCAGGCCCUGAGCCAAAGGCAGAUGCUCAACCACUGAGCCACCCAGGCGUCCCCAGGAAUUGCUCUUGAUAAAAACUGGAGUUCCUCCAGACUACUGUCCAGCUAUGUUCAGUCUCCUUCUCAAAGGCCUUGGGCACAACUUGCUCAUGGAUGGGUUACCAACAGGAUGACUAUUUUCCUUACCAGGGAAAGGAGGUGACAGAAAAGAAAAGGAAAUAGACACCAUCCUCUGGCCUCUUCCUACCCCUAAAAGCUGCUACACCCAAAACUGCUUGCAGGACACUGAAUGAACCUGAGGUGGAAAGCCUCAACUCUCAGAAUUAAGUAUAAUAAUAAAGCUUCUAUUGCUUCAAUUAUCAAAAAUAGAGUGG